GAUGAACGCUAGCGGCAGGCCUAACACAUGCAAGUCGAGCGGUAGGGACCCUCGGGUCCUGAGAGCGGCGCACGGGUGCGUAACGCGUAUGCAACCUGCCCUGCACAGGGGAAUAGCCCGUCGAAAGGCGGAUUAAUGCCCCAUGGUACCUUGCCUGGGCAUCCAGGCGGGGUUAAAGAUUCAUCGGUGCAGGAUGGGCAUGCGGGCCAUUAGCUGGAUGGUGGGGUAACGGCCCACCAUGGCGACGAUGGCUAGGGGUUCUGAGAGGAAGGCCCCCCACACUGGGACUGAGACACGGCCCAGACUCCUACGGGAGGCAGCAGUGAGGAAUAUUGGUCAAUGGGCGGAAGCCUGAACCAGCCAUGCCGCGUGCGGGAAGAAGGCGCUACGCGUCGUAAACCGCUUUUGUCCGGGGGUAACCGCGGGGACGUGUCCCCGCCUGCAAGCACCGGACGAAUAAGGGUCGGCUAACUCCGUGCCAGCAGCCGCCGUAA
rnacentral:rRNA from 1 species